rnacentral:rRNA from 1 species
UACGGAGGGUGCAAGCGUUGUUCGGAAUCAUUGGGCGUAAAGCGCGUGUAGGCGGCUUGGUAAGUCGGGUGUGAAAUCCCGGGGCCCAACCCCGGAACUGCAUUCGAAACUGCCUCGCUAGAGUCCCGGAGAGGAAGGCGGAAUUCCCGGUGUAGAGGUGAAAUUCGUAGAUAUUCGGAGGAACACCAGUGGCGAAGGCGGCUCACUGGCUCGAUACUGACGCUGAGGUGCGACAGCGUGGGGAGCAAACAGG